CCUACGGGCGGCAGCAGUGGGGAAUAUUGCACAAUGGGCGCGAGCCUGAUGCAGCCAUGCCGCGUGUGUGAAGAAGGCCUUCGGGUUGUAAAGCACUUUCAGCGGGGAGGAAGGCGGUGAGGUUAAUAACCUCAUCGAUUGACGUUACCCGCAGAAGAAGCACCGGCUAACUCCGUGCCAGCAGCCGCGGUAAUACGGAGGGUGCAAGCGUUAAUCGGAAUUACUGGGCGUAAAGCGCACGCAGGCGGGCUGUCAAGUCGGAUGUGAAAGCCCCGGGCUCAACCUGGGAACUGCAUUCGAAACUGGCAGGCUAGAGUCUUGUAGAGGGGGGUAGAAUUCCAGGUGUAGCGGUGAAAUGCGUAGAGAUCUGGAGGAAUACCGGUGGCGAAGGCGGCCCCCUGGACAAAGACUGACGCUCAGGUGCGAAAGCGUGGGGAGCAAACAGGAUUAGAUACCCGAGUAGUC
rnacentral:rRNA from 1 species